rnacentral:tRNA from 1 species
GGGCCUAUAGCUUAGACUGGCUGUAGCGCCCGGCUGAUAACCGGGAGGUCAUCGGUUCAAAUCCGAUUAGGCCCA